rnacentral:rRNA from 1 species
AUUGAACGCUGGCGGCAGGCCUAACACAUGCCAGUCGAGCGGAUGAAGGGAGCUUGCUCCUGGAUUCAGCGGCGGACGGGUGAGUAAUGCCUAGGAAUCUGCCUGGUAGUGGGGGAUAACGUCCUGAAACGGGCGCUAAUACCGCAUACGUCCUGAGGGAGAAAGUGGGGGAUCUUCGGACCUCACGCUAUCAGAUGAGCCUAGGUCGGAUUAGCUAGUUGGUGGGGUAAAGGCCUUCCAAGGCGACGAUCCGUAACUGGUCUGAGAGGAUGAUCAGUCACACUGGAACUGAGACACGGUCAAGACUCCUAAGGGAGGCAGCAGUGGGGAAUAUUGGACAAUGGGCGAAAGCCUGAUCCAGCCAUGCCGCGUGUGUGAAGAAGGUCUUCGGAUUGUAAAGCACUUUAAGUUGGGAGGAAGGGCAGUAAGUUAAUACCUUGCUGUUUUGACGUUACCAACAGAAUAAGCACCGGCUAACUUCGUG